AGAGUUUGAUCCUGGCUCAGGAUGAACGCUAGCGGGAGGCCUAACACAUGCAGGCCGAGCGGUAUUGUUUCUUCGGAAAUGAGAGAGCGGCGUACGGGUGCGGAACACGUGUGCAACCUGCCUUUAUCUGGGGGAUAGCCUUUCGAAAGGAAGAUUAACACUCCAUAAUAUAUUGAACGGCAUCGUUUAAUAUUGAAAGCUCCGGCGGAUAGAGAUGGGCACGCGCAAGAUUAGCUAGUUGGUGAGGUAACGGCUCACCAAGGCAAUGAUCUUUAGGGGGCCUGAGAGGGUGAUCCCCCACACUGGUACUGAGACACGGACCAGACUCCUACGGGAGGCAGCAGUGAGGAAUAUUGGUCAAUGGGUGCAAGCCUGAACCAGCCAUCCCGCGUGAAGGACGACUGCCCUAUGGGUUGUAAACUUCUUUUGUAUAGGGAUAAACCUUUCCACGUGUGGAAAGCUGAAGGUACUAUACGAAUAAGCACCGGCUAACUCCGUG
rnacentral:rRNA from 1 species